GAGUUUGAUCCUGGCUCAGGACGAACGCUGGCGGCGUGCUUAACACAUGCAAGUCGAACGGUGACGAAGAGCUUGCUCUUCUGAUCAGUGGCGAACGGGUGAGUAACACGUGAGCAACCUACCCUUGACCCUGGGAUAACAGUUGGAAACAGCUGCUAAUACCGGAUAUGAACUCAGCAGGCAUCUGCAGAGUUGGAAAGCUCCGACGGUCAAGGAUGGGCUCGCGGCCUAUCAGCUUGUUGGUGAGGUAACGGCUCACCAAGGCGACGACGGGUAGCCGGCCUGAGAGGGCGACCGGCCACACUGGGACUGAGAUACGGCCCAGACUCCUACGGGAGGCAGCAGUGGGGAAUAUUGCGCAAUGGGCGAAAGCCUGACGCAGCAACGCCGCGUGCGGGAUGACGGCCUUCGGGUUGUAAACCGCUUUCAGCAGGGACGAAACUGACGGUACCUGCAGAAGAAGCACCGGCUAACUACGUGCCAGCAGCCGCGGUGAUACGUAGGGUGCGAGCGUUGUCCGGAAUUAUUGGGCGUAAAGAGCUCGUAGGCGGUCUGUCACGUCGGAAGUGAAAACUCGGGGCUCAACCCCGAGCCUGCUUUCGAUACGGGCAGACUUGAGGAAUGUAGGGGAGAACGGAAUUCCUGGUGGAGCGGUGGAAUGCGCAGAUAUCAGGAGGAACACCAGUGGCGAAGGCGGUUCUCUGGACAUUAACUGACGCUGAGGAGCGAAAGCGUGGGGAGCAAACAGGCUUAGAUACCCUGGUAGUCCACGCCGUAAACGGUGGGCACUAGGUGUGGGGAACUUCCACGUUCUCCGUGCCGAAGCUAACGCAUUAAGUGCCCCGCCUGGGGAGUACGGCCGCAAGGCUAAAACUCAAAGGAAUUGACGGGGGCCCGCACAAGCGGCGGAGCAUGUUCAUUAAUUCGAUGCAACGCGAAGAACCUUACCUAGGUUUGACAUAUACCGGAAACACCUGGAGACAGGUGCCCCGCAAGGUCGGUAUACAGGUGGUGCAUGGCUGUCGUCAGCUCGUGUCGUGAGAUGUUGGGUUAAGUCCCGCAACGAGCGCAACCCUCGUCCUAUGUUGCCAGCGGGUAAUGCCGGGAACUCAUAGGAGACUGCCGGGGUCAACUCGGAGGAAGGUGGGGAUGAGGUCAAGUCAUCAUGCCCCUUAAGUCUAGGGCUUGAAACAUGCUACAAUGGCUGGUACAAAGGGCUGCAAUACCGCAAGGUGGAGCGAAUCCCAUAAAGCCAGUCGUAGUCCGGAUCGCAGUCUGCAACUCGACCCCAUGAAGUCGGAGUCGCUAGUAAUCGCAGAUCAGCAACGCUGCGGUGAAUACGUUCCCGGGCCUUGUACACACCGCCCGUCAAGUCAUGAAAGUCGGUAACACCCGAAGCCGGUGGCCCAACCCUUGUGGAGGGAGCCGUCGAAGGUGGGACCGGUAAUUAGGACUAAGUCGUAACAAGGUAGCCGUACCGGAAGGUGCGGCUGGAUCACCUCCUUAUCUGCUAAAAACUCGA
rnacentral:rRNA from 1 species